rnacentral:rRNA from 1 species
CCAGCACCCGCGGUAAUUCCAGCUCCAAUAGCGUAUAUUAAAGUUGUUGCAGUUAAAAAGCUCGUAGUUGGAUUUGUGGUUGUCGCUUGCGGCCUGGUACAUAGUGCUGGUGCUUGCAGGCGACUCCAUCCUUGGGUGGAAGCUGUGUGGCAUUAGGUUGUCGUGCAGGGGAUGCCCAUCAUUUACUGUGAAAAAAUUAGAGUGUUCAAAGCAGGCUUAUGCCGUUGAAUAUGUUAGCAUGGAAUAAUAAGAUAGGACCUUGGUACUAUUUUGUUGGUUUGCGCACCAAGGUAAUGAUUAAAAGGGACAGUUGUGGGUAUUCGUAUUCCAUUGUCAGAGGUGAAAUUCUUGGAUUUUUGGAAGACGAACUACUGCGAAAGCAUUUACCAAGGAUGUUUUCAUUAAUCAAGAACGAAAGU